AUAUUUUUUUUUUUAAACUAGGUCCAAAACGAUGUCGUUUUGGCCAGAAUGUUAAAAAAAAAAGAUCUAGCUCUUCUGCACAAUAGCAGAACGAGACCACUAGAACAAGGAGGGGAUGAAAACUAGUCGAGUUUCCAACGAGGGGAGGGGUUGAACUAGCCCUCCAGGUGUAUUUUUCCGGUGACGGGAGUGGCGGCCGCCACUCCUCGCCCUAACGUGGCUUCACCACUGCCAAUGGAUGACUAGAAUAGUUUUUUUAUUAGUCUAUAUAUGGUUUAUUAAAUAAUGACACUAAAUUAUUAUUAAUUUGGAAGAAUAAAUUUAUAUGGACUAUAUUUAUUUUGUUUUGAGAAUAGAUUUCCAAAAUAUUAUAAUAUUGACAUUAUUUUGUUGAGAAACUAUUUUCGAGACGAAAUAAAAUAAAUAUUUAUAGUUAAUCGCGCAAGGCUUUACGUGACAAACCUGUUGUUGCCAAAAUCUUUGUGGGACGAGAUUUCAUCGCGCAAGUGAAACAGUCGGUUAGCAUUUAAGGCGUCAUAUUUACUGUGUAUUACCACUUAAAUACGCGAUGAAAAUUUGGUUGUGCAUAACAUUGAGGGACUAGACUUUGUCGCGCAAAGCGAUGGUCAAUGGAGUUGAAGUCGUGGCAUUUAUUGCAUAUUUAUUUCGUACUUUGUGCAACGAAGGUUUCGUAGCUCAAAAGGUUAUGCACGACGAAGCCUUCGUUGCGUAAAGUGUUCUUUUAUAAGCAUAGAUUGUUUUGCAAUUUUCUUCACAUUGUUUUGUACAUCUGAUGGCCGAUAAUAGGGAUAGUAGGAAAGCAGCAAUCUGGGAUCGAAUUGUGGAAAGAAAUAGCACGCCCUCUGGGCCCCAUGAUAUGAUGCAACAUAUGGAGUUUGCAUGUUCGAUUUGUUUAGCAAUGCAGGACAAUUGUCCUACUGCUGAGUGGCGCUCUUGGAAGUUUGUGCCUGAGGACGCGAAGAAGGCGAUGAUGGAUGAACUAUUAGUAAGUGUGACAAAUGUUGAAAAUAAUUAAUUUUGUGAAAUUGUUUUUUUAUACGUUGUAAAUAAUUAUUUGCAUAUAUGUGUAACAGUGUAACUAUACUCUUGAUGAGAUGAACAAAGAGUUGGUGAAGUUGAUAGAGGAGGCGUUGAAGAAGGUUACAAGCAAUGGCAUUAUGAUGUGGAGUGGAAUGGAGGACCAUCGGAGUAGUUAUAAAUUUAUAUUUUUGAGGACAAUAUUUAUUUUUAAGGUUUUAUUUUAAGUUAUGUAUUUGGACUUAAUUAGCCUUUAAUUCAUGUUUUGUUGUUUAAAUAAUUGAAUUGGUUAAUUUACUUUAUAAGUUUUCUAUUAUUUUUAGAAUAAUAUUAUAAUUGAAUAAGUCUUUGUAAUUACGAAAUUUACGUAAAUAUAGAUUAUAAAGAUCUAUAUUACGUAAAUUUCAUAUAAUGAAUUAUGUAUUUGUACGUCGCUGAACAUUUUGCACGACGAAACACUCGACACAAUAAAUAUGUGCGACGAAUUACUUAUUCGUCCCACAUAUUUCCAACCAUGAUGAAGUUUUCAUUGCGUAAAGGCCGUAAAAAAUGCUGUUAAAUUUACCGUCAAAUUUCGAAUCCAUACAUUUUAAGCGACGAAAUGUUCGUUGCGUAAGGGUGAAAUAAAAGGGCGAUGACUCCAGAGUCUUGCUCGAUAAAGGUUUUGUCGCUUAAGAUAUUAACUCCAAACGGUCAAUUUCUAAGUCAGAGGAUUCAAUGCUAUUGAAUCAGAGAAUCAUUGUGGCAUUUGUUAAGGGUUUUGCGCUACAAAGCUUUUGUCGCGCAAGGUAGGCCUGGCAAACAAGUUAUGUCUGUCGUAUUCGUGUCGUUUUCGUGUAACACCUGUUAUCUUAAUGGGUCGUGUCGUGUCACACCCGUUAUCUUAACGGGUCCUUAACAGGUCGGGUCACUUUACCCAACGGGUAAAGUGACCCUACCCGUUAUGACCUGUUAAGAAAAAUAUUUUUUUUUCUUAAAUUUGCACAUACCACACAUUACCACAUAAAUAUUACUUCAAAACAUUAAAACACAUUUAUCGUUUAAGUACUACAUCUACACUCGAAAAUAAGAGCCUAAUAAAAAAAUAAUACAUACACUACUAAUCUAUUACAAAUAUUAAAUGUGCAAGGAUAUGCAAAAUGAAAGAGUUUUUGUUUUCAAGGUUGUGAAGUCUUUCUCAAAAGUUUAACCUCAAUUUACAAAAUCCUUGAUUUACAUCGAUCAUCAUGAAAUUGUAUUGGAACUUUGGCUUGAUCUCAGCCGAUCCAAUGGUCAUCAAUUUUUUAAAUUUAAUUUAAU
rnacentral:lncRNA from 1 species